CCUACGGGGGGCUGCAGUGGGGAAUAUUGGACAAUGGGGGCAACCCUGAUCCAGCCAUGCCGCGUGUGUGAAGAAGGCCCUCGGGUUGUAAAGCACUUUCAGUGAGGAAGAACGCCUGGUGGUUAAUACCCAUCAGGAAAGACAUCACUCACAGAAGAAGCACCGGCUAACUCCGUGCCAGCAGCCGCGGUAAUACGGAGGGUGCGAGCGUUAAUCGGAAUUACUGGGCGUAAAGCGCGCGUAGGUGGCUUGAUAAGCCGGUUGUGAAAGCCCCGGGCUCAACCUGGGAACGGCAUCUGGAACUGUCAAGCUAGAGUGCAGGAGAGGAAGGUAGAAUUCCCGGUGUAGCGGUGAAAUGCGUUGAGAUCGGGAGGAAUACCAGUGGCGAAGGCGGCCUUCUGGACUGACACUGACACUGAGGUGCGAAAGCGUGGGUAGCAAACAGGAUUAGAUACCCCUGUAGUC
rnacentral:rRNA from 1 species